UUCCAGAAAAAUCUUCCGAUAGCCACAUCAACUCGGUUCUUCCGCUCAGGAUCCAUCGAAUCAACAAUAUGGACUUGACUCUGUUUGCUAAAAAACAGGGAACUGCAGCCACUUCCACUUGAUUGGGAUGAUACCACCGGUGGAAAUCCUUGGACAUUGCCAUCCAUUCUCAUAGAAGCACCACCAGAUUCAUUCGGCCGUUUCUUCCCCCUUGCCCCUUUCUCGGAAUCAAUAACCUUUUGCAUAUUGAGCAGAUCCGCUUUCUUGUUACCUGGGAUGAGAGGACAACUCACAAUAUCCUUGUUGCCUGGGCCUUCU
rnacentral:lncRNA from 1 species